UAUGAAAACCAUAGAGAUAGGGCUUCUCCUUCGGGAGCAGAGUGACAGGUGGUGCAUGGUUGUUGUCAGCUCGUGUCGUGAGAUGUUGGGUUAAGUCCCGCAACGAGCGCAACCCUUGAUCUUAGUUGCCAUCAUUAAGUUGGGCACUCUAAGGUGACUGCCGGUGACAAACCGGAGGAAGGUGGGGAUGACGUCAAAUCAUCAUGCCCCUUAUGACCUGGGCUACACACGUGCUACAAUGGACGGUACAAAGAGCUGCAAGACCGCGAGGUGGAGCUAAUCUCAUAAAACCGUUCUCAGUUCGGAUUGUAGGCUGCAACUCGCCUACAUGAAGCUGGAAUCGCUAGUAAUCGCGGAUCAGCAUGCCGCGGUGAAUACGUUCCCGGGCCUUGUACACACCGCCCGUCACACCACGAGAGUUUGUAACACCCGAAGUCGGUGGGGUAACCUUUUUGGAGCCAGCCGCCUAAGGUGGGACAGAUGAUUGGGGUGA
rnacentral:rRNA from 1 species